rnacentral:lncRNA from 1 species
UCUGUCCUCAACCACUUACUUUCGGUGUUAGCGGUGAGUCUCAAAGGAACAUUGUGCUGAACUGUUCUCCAUCUCAACUACAUGAUCCUGCAGCCCUCAGGAUGAAGGGUUUCGGUCUUUGAUUCCGGCGACCUGGAGGCUUGCUUACUGUCAACUCCAUGCGGAGAACUGUAGAAAACAGGAUAAAGACGAAGACUAGGCCGAGCCGUCCAAGGCAGUGAGUCCACUGAAUGGGACCUCAUUCGGACAAAAGGGUCUUUGCAGAUGUAAUUAAGGACCUCAAGAUGAAAUCCUCCUGGACUAAUCAGGUAGGCCCGAGACCCCAUGACACAGACAGAGACACAGGGAGAGUUCCAUGUGACAGUGGAGGCAGGGACUGGAGUGAUGUAUCUGUGCCCAAGGAACACCAAGGAUUGCCAGCAGCUCCCAGGAGGAGAUGGGAUGGAGCUGACGCUCUCCAGAGCCUUCAGAAGGAACCAAAUCUGAUACUGGAUUUCCGUCCUGCAGAACUGGGAGAAAAUGCAUUUCUGUUUGAAGUUACCAAGUUUGUGGUCAUUUGUGAGAGCAGCCCCAGGAGAUGAACACAGGGUGGCUCCAUGCCAGGACAGGGGGGCAAGAGGCUGGGGCUCUGUGCUCCUCCAGGUCUCACUCAGGCUCACUCUGAGCAUUCAGCGCAGUGUUUGGGGCACCCGGUGACCCUGGGUGUGAGGAGACGUGGUCUGUGCCUUCUGGCCCAUCGUCAUUUGCUCUGGGUGCUGAUAUCAACCACAGGCAAUUUAAUUCUAGACUGGAAUGGAGCUGGGAAGGGCGCACCUUCCUGCCAAAAGCAAUUUCGUCCAAAGUCUGCACCUCGGUGGCUGAGCAUGGCGGGCCGGGAUGUUUUCACACUGCCACUCUAGAAAGAGCGGAAAUGCAGACGCUUUCCUCCUUCACAAUUUUUGAUUGCUUUGACUUUUGGUGUGUCCGAGAGGCUGUAACUCAAAUAACCGUUCCCCACCUUUGGUUAGAUCCUAGAGUCUCUGGUACAUUGUCCGUCAGCGGUGCUGCUUGGAGGCUUCCCAAAGGCCGCCAUUUUGGUAGGCUCAUUGAGAGAUACAGAAGAAAUAGGAGCAAACGGCUCCACAGUAGAGAUACAAGCAGCUUCUACCUUCAAAUUACUGUGGUUUUUAUUUGACCUGUUGGAAGUUCUGGGGUUUCUGUAAAGGAUAAAAACUCUCUUUGGGCAGGCACAGUGUAGAUCUGAAAAGUCCUGACUACGGCCCCUUCAGUUUAUGGCCUGAGGAGCUUGAGGGCCUGAGGGAAGCCAGUGGCCGGAACACACGGGCUCUUUAGCUGAGGAGGGACUUGAACCCAGGUGUUCCGACGCGAGGACUCUCUCCCACCACAUACAGCACAGCACUGCUUGCGUUGUUUGGUUUUGUAUUGCUUUGGAAUUAGUCCAACUAUCAUCAUCGAUGUGAAUAAAUAGACAUAUAUCUUUUCAGUUUGCACAACUACAACCAUAAAUGAAUAUUUAUUAGUGUGAAGACACCCCCAGGUCCUGGAACACUCAACACAUGUAGAGCCAGGUGUAUUCAGGAGUCCAUGCAGCAGGAAGUGGAGCCAUCAUCACAGGGUACGAAGGGAGGACAAGUGCAGUGUCGUGAGCAUGUACAGAGGGAAGUUGACAGCGGGGAGAGGCUUUGCUGAGGAAGUGGCGUUUGGAAGAACGAGAAUGAGGGGAAACCUGGAGAAGCCAGUGAAGGACACUGACCAGAUGGGGUUUUGCCGUGUUACCCAGGCUAGUCACGAACUCCUGUGCUCAAGCGAUCUGUCUGCCUCGGCCUCCAAAGUGCUGGGAUUGCAGGCAUGAGCCACCGCGCCCAGCCAGAAAGCCACUGCUUUAUAGACCACCACUUAAAUGCACCUGGCAGCUUCAUGUACGCAAGAACUUUCCUGCAGCUCCUUUAAAUUUAAGAAUCUUUUGGCAAAAUGAAGAAUACAAGCGUGUUUCUUCUUCAUAUGCUUUGUUUUAGGAACAUUAAAAAAAUAUAGUUACUACAAUCAGAAAGCAGUUAUAUUUGUAUGUUUUGUAACAAAUACUGUGGCCUGAUAGAAUGAGCUUCUGACAAAGGCAUGUGCUUUCCAAGUGGGCCAAGUUCAAAAGUUGUCCGCUGAGUUGUCUCACUGGCUCAUCCAGCCAAUCAUUCAAAUAUUUAAAGGCCCCACUAAGGGCCAUGUUACUCAUUGUACAUCUUUAAGGAUGGGUGUAACUUACUUAUCUGUUUAUUUUCAAUUUCAGAAUACUUUAUAUUGACUCCUAAAAGUAUGGUGUAGUGUAUGUUUGUUUUGGGAGUUUCAAUACAAUCCCUAAAUUUAUGUAUCUCAAAUGUACAGGGACUGAUCAAAUUAGUGCUAAUUUUCCUAAAACAGUGUCAAAAACAAGGGAAUCAAUCAUGAACACACUAAGCAUGAGCAUCGACUGUCACAAGACAUGGCUCAGUUUAUUUUUUCUUCCUUCUUACUACACCGUAGAACAGAGCUCUUUUGUUUGCUUAUGACCUGGGCAAAUAUGCUGUAUGAUAAAAAAAAAUCAUGUAUGCAUUUGAUUCUCAUCCAGAUGCCCUUAGGAUAAGAGGUUCAUUUUCAUCUUCUGUUUUCCAAAUGAAGCUUUAAAUCUAAUUAGAUCUUGAAAGAAAAUAACUGCAAUAGGGUUUCUGUAAGUAAAGGGCCCUCAUUUAAAUAAUGCUGUUAUUUGUUUAUGUGAUUUACAGUAAGUGAUGAAACUCUUCGUGGCCAGCACGCCGCUCACUUCGGGGAUCCUUUGCACAGAGCACUUUGAGUUAGUUAUAAACCAUUCUACACACAGAAGCAUUUAAUUGUUAGAACAUUUCAUAGUGUAACAGCAUUUCUCAUUGCCUAGCAUGGGCCUUCUCCAUAUCGAAGGCCCAAUAAAUAUUUGUAGAAUAAAGGAAUUCACACC